rnacentral:sRNA from 1 species
GGGGGAUUCACUGUUAUACUUGGAGGCCAUGUCACCUGAGAGUCAAUGGGCAACGAUCAAAUUUCACCUUGAGCAGAUUCUUUUGUUUGCUUUUUAGUCACAAAUAGCUUGGCCCUAAGUGGUGGCUCCCAUUCUUGUAAGAUGCGUUUAUUCAUCGUGUAAUCACCAGUUCCCUGUAGUGGGGGCGUGGAUGGAGUGUCAGAGGCUCCUGCUGGUCUUUAGGGUGUCUGGCCUCCAGGAAUCCUAGAGGUAGUAUUUGGAGAGAUUUUUAAAAGCUUUGUUUCUGUGACCAGCAAAACCUGGAUUUGACACUGAGGUCAGCCCGUUUCAGCCAGUGACGUAACCUGUCUUUUUGCCCCAGUAAAUUGGGAACUACAGCACUCGAUGUUAGAGUUGUCGUGAAGAUUAAAGAAGGUGACGACUGGACAACUCCCAGCCCAAUACCUGAAACUGUACCAGCACCCAGUGAGCACUGCUAUUCCUGUGACUGCUGCACAUUUGCCUUAUCUCAGCAGUAUGCCUGUGUCACUUUUUUGGCACUCUUUUCUCAUGGGUACAUUCAGAGAAGAGGAAUGUUUGUUCACUGGUGAAGAGAACAUCCCGUGUACUAUCGUGUAGAAGUUGUAGUAGACGCUGUGGUCUUUCCAACAACAAACAAACUGCUGGGACAGGACCCAGGAGGUUCCGGAGGAUCAGGAGGUCCACCUGGGAGAAGAGCUGAUCGGCUAGUAGGAGAGCUGGAAAAGCAACAGACACCUCCUUAGUCCCUUCCCUGGGGCCCGGCUCCAGUCUGAGCUGUCACGCCACAGCAAAGGCAUCACUUCAGGACAGCAAAGCCCCUGUCUCCCUCCCUUCCAGCUCCUCAGACUUCACCCUGGUAACACGUUUGUUUAAAAAACAUAUUUUUCCCCCUUGUAAAGAAUCUAGGAUACACGGGGUCAGCCCAGCAGUUUAGGUAUCAUGAAGAAACUGCUCUCGGAGCUAAAGUAAGAAACAGUGCCUGUCUAUAGCGCAAAUAAAGAGUUGGAACAAGAUAAAA